AGAGUUUGAUCCUGGCUCAGAACGAACGCUCGCGGCGUGCUUAACACAUGCAAGUCUAGCGGGUCAGGGGGCAACUCCUGAUCAGCGGCAGACGGGUGAGUAACACGUGGGUAAUCUGCCCUCUAGUGGGGAAUAACCCGGGGAAACUCGGGCUAAUACCGCAUACGAUCGCCACUGCUUCGGCGGUGGUCAUCAAAGCUGGGGACCGAAAGGCCUGGCGCUAGAGGAGGAGCCCACGUCCGAUUAGCUAGUUGGCGGGGUAACGGCCCACCAAGGCAACGAUCGGUAGCCGGCCUGAGAGGGUGUCCGGCCACACUGGGACUGAGACACGGCCCAGACUCCUACGGGAGGCAGCAGUGGGGAAUAUUGGACAAUGGGCGAAAGCCUGAUCCAGCAAUGCCGCGUGAGUGAUGAAGGCCUUAGGGUUGUAAAGCUCUUUUACCCGGGAUGAUAAUGACAGUACCGGGAGAAUAAGCUCCGGCUAACUCCGUGCCAGCAGCCGCGGUAA
rnacentral:rRNA from 1 species